rnacentral:lncRNA from 1 species
UCUGCACAUUCUUAGUUGUGUCUCCUGGAUGUCCUAUGGGUGUGCCCAGCGGUGGAAUGGCUGGGCCACAGGGUAUGUGAGUUUUUAACGUUACAAGAAAUGGUCCACCUGUUGUCUCAUAGUUGCACCAACUUACAUCCCCACCAGUUGUGGAUAAGAAAGCUGAAUGUCUGCCUGCUUCUAAGAUUUGGGUACAGAUUCCCCAAUACCAUCUUUUACAUCUUCUACCAAGUUUGCAGAACAGAUUUAUGCUAAAGUUUAGCCCCGUGGCCAGUGUUUCUUACCCUUUGUAAACUUUUAAAGGCAACUGCUACAUUUGAUUUCCACAAUCUUCUUGGAUUUAUUUAACUCUCCCAAGACUUUUUAACACCCUACAGAAUACCUAACCCUCAUGGUAUCCUGGUGUGUUGCAGGAAAGUUCUAAGUGGGUGUUUGGUUGUGAUGCUGGUGAUGGAACCCAUGAUCUCAAACAUGUUAAAAACGCACUCCACCCUGAGCUUGACACCCCCAGCACACCAAGGAGGUGCUCUUACUUCAUCUCUGGUGCUCUGGCGCUCACACAGGCUCACCUGCAGAGGAUGCUGGGUAGGCGACAGAAGAACAAAGUCCAGCAGUCAGUAAACAUGGUGCUUUCAGAAGAAGAAAGGGGCUAUUUUUUUUCAAUGCCAUAAACAAU